rnacentral:rRNA from 1 species
CCUACGGGAGGCAGCAGUGAGGAAUAUUGGUCAAUGGUCGUAAGCCUGAACCAGCCAAGUCGCGUGAGGGAUGAAGGUUCUAUGGAUCGUAAACCUCUUUUAUAAGGGAAUAAAGUGUGGGACGCGUCCUGUUUUGUAUGUACCUUAUGAAUAAGGAUCGGCUAACUCCGUGCCAGCAGCCGCGGUAAUACGGAGGAUCCGAGCGUUAUCCGGAUUUAUUGGGUUUAAAGGGUGCGUAGGCGGCCUUUUAAGUCAGCGGUGAAAGUCUGUGGCUCAACCAUAGAAUUGCCGUUGAAACUGGGAGGCUUGAGUAUGUUUGAGGCAGGCGGAAUGCGUGGUGUAGCGGUGAAAUGCUUAGAUAUCGCGCAGAACCCCGAUUGCGAAGGCAGCCUGCCAAGCCAUGACUGACGCUGAUGCACGAAAGCGUGGGGAUCAAACAGGAUUAGAUACCCCAGUAGUC